UACGUAGGGGGCGAGCGUUGUCCGGAUUUAUUGGGCGUAAAGAGCGUGUAGGCGGUUCGGUAAGUCUGUCGUGAAAUCCUGAGGCUCAACCUCGGGCGUGCGAUGGAUACUGCCGGGCUAGAGGAUGGUAGAGGCGAGUGGAAUUCCCGGUGUAGAGGUGAAAUUCGUAGAUAUUAGGAAGAACACCAGUGGCGAAGGCGGCUCACUGGCCCGGUACUGACGCUGAGGCGCGAAAGCGUGGGGAGCAAACAGG
rnacentral:rRNA from 1 species